AGCAUGAAGAAGUCCGCAGGGGAAUUACCAUUUGCUACUGGAACAAAGCAAACCCCAACCUUCCACAUCUUAGCAUCGCCUUUGCAUUUUGUGACAUUCACGGCAGGGCCUCCACAGUGAGCAGCACCUGCCCUGAGCCAGGCUGCACACAGGGUGCUUAUCAAAUAUUCUCUUUCUCCUGAGGAGGAAACUGAGGCCUGGGGAGGUCAAGUAAGUUCCCCAAGGCCACAGACACUAGUAAAGAUCAGAAUGUAGAGUCAGAGCCAGCUGUCGUCAAAUCCCGAGUUUUUCUCGGUCAUAAUGGAGCUCUGUUAAACGAACAGCAAUGGACACAAAGGGGGUUAAAAUCCAGACUACGUGAGCUCUGAAUCACCACUUCAUACAACCUUCCUGUGGCACAGCUGCACAAGAGCCAAGACUUACACCAUGACGCUCCCUCUUGACACUGGACAGUGGAGGGAGGCAGUGGCUGUGUAAACUGCAAAGGCCCUGGAAUACGCUGCCUCCUGGUCCCAAAAGCAAACGGGGGACACUGGGGCCCGCACCCCACCACAGCACAAUAGGCGUAAGAACAGCAGGACACUGAUGGCUCCAUUUUCUGCUCGGAUGACUUUGGUCAAACUUCCUCGCUCCUCCGAGCCUCAGUUUACCCAUCUCCUAACUGGGAUUAAAAUCACUUUACCAAAGGCUGCCGGAAGCUACUGGAGACAACACAUUGAAACCAUGUGCUGAGCAAAACCCAGAAGAAAGGGUAAAUACGGAGGCUACAAUGGAGAACUUUUCUACCAUUAGGAUCCACACGGUCUCCCCGAAACAGUCGUGUUAAAAGCUUUGGACGUGACUGGGUGCUGAUGGAUCUGGGACAAGUGAGCCUGGCGUGCUUCAGGUCACACAACGCCUUUGCGGGAACUGGGGACCACGGCUGAUGCCUCAUAAGCUCUUUCACUGUCAGGGCGUGGAGCGAGUGACUUUGCUCUACUCCAUGUUCCUGCCACAAAGGCUCCAACCGCAGGCCCCAAAGCAGCAGGACUGACCAAUCAUGGACUCUAAAGUUAAAAUAAACCUUUACACUCUA